rnacentral:rRNA from 1 species
AAAACUUUUAACAAUGGAUCUCUUGGUUCUCGUAUC